AGAGUUUGAUCCUGGCUCAGAGUGAACGCUGGCGGCAGGCCUAACACAUGCAAGUCGAACGGCAGCACAGCAGUAGCAAUACUGUGGGUGGCGAGUGGCGGACGGGUGAGGAAUGCGUCGGAAUCUGCCUAUUUGUGGGGGAUAACGUAGGGAAACUUACGCUAAUACCGCAUACGACCUACGGGUGAAAGUGGGGGACCUUCGGGCCUCACGCAGAUAGAUGAGCCGACGCCGGAUUAGCUAGUUGGCGGGGUAAAGGCCCACCAAGGCGACGAUCCGUAGCUGGUCUGAGAGGAUGAUCAGCCACACUGGGACUGAGACACGGCCCAGACUCCUACGGGAGGCAGCAGUGGGGGAUAUUGGACAAUGGGCGCAAGCCUGAUCCAGCCAUGCCGCGUGUGUGAAGAAGGCCUUCGGGUUGUAAAGCACUUUUGUCCGGAAAGAAAUCCUUUCGAUUAAUACUCGGGAGGGAUGACGGUACCGG
rnacentral:rRNA from 1 species